rnacentral:rRNA from 1 species
AGAGUUUGAUCAUGGCUCAGAAUCAACGCUGGCGGCGUGCCUAACACAUGCAAGUCGAGCGAGAAAGUGGGAGCAAUCCCAUGAGUACAGCGGCGACCGGGUGAGUAACACGUGACUAACCUACCCUUGAGUGGGGAAUAACUCCGGGAAACCGGAGCUAAUACCACAUAACACCGCAAGGUCAAAGGAGCAAUUCGCUUAAGGAGGGGGUCGCGGUUGAUUAGCUAGUUGGUGGGGUAAUGGCCCACCAAGGCGAUGAUCAAUAGCCGGCCUGAGAGGGCGCACGGCCACACUGGAACUGAAACACGGUCCAGACUCCUACGGGAGGCAGCAGUGGGGAAUUUUGCGCAAUGGGGGAAACCCUGACGCAGCAACGCCGCGUGAAGGAUGAAGGUCUUUGGAUUGUAAACUUCUUUCGUGCCGGGAAGAUAAUGACGGUACCGGAAUAAGAAGCCCCGGCUAACUUCGGUGCCAGCAGCCGCGGUA